rnacentral:rRNA from 1 species
GCAGGGACACAUUUGAAGUCUCGGAGCCGGGUGUUGGUUCCGGCAGCGAUCGAGGGAAAUUAGUACCGAAGUUCGGGAUGGAAGAUGGCGAGAAAAGCUGUGUGUAUUUCUGCGGUGCCCGUACCGCAAACCGACACAGGUAGGUAGGAAGAAGAUUCUAAGGCCAACGGGAGAAGGGUUGUUAAGGAACUCGGCAAAUUGACCCCGUAACUUCGGGAGAAGGGGUGCUCUAGAGAUAGAGCCGCAGAGAAUCGGCCCAAGCAACUGUUUACCAAAAACACAGGUUUGUGCUAAAUCGAAAGAUGACGUAUACGAGCUGACGCCUGCCCGGUGCUGGAAGGUUAAGAGGAGAUGUGCAAGCAUUGAAUCGAAGCCCCAGUGAACGGCGGCCGUAACGAUAACGGUCCUAAGGUAGCGAAAUUCCUUGUCAGGUAAGUUCUGACCCGCAUGAAAGGCGUAAUGAUUUGGGCACUGUCUCGACAGCCCGCCCGGCGAAAUUGUAGUACCGGUGAAGAUGCCGGUUACCCGCGACAAGACGGAAAGACCCCAUGGAGCAUUACUGUAGCCUAAUAUUGGGUUUCGAUGUUGCAUGCACAGGAUAGAUGGGACACAGGGAAACAAGUGCUUUGGCAUUUGUGGAGUGGCCGUUGGGAUACCAUCCUUGCGAUAUUGGAAUUCUAACCUGCGCCUUUGAAUCAAGGCGGGGGACAUUGUUAGGUGGGCAGUUUGACUGGGGCGGUCGCCUCCUAAAGAGUAACGGAGGCGUUCAAAGGUUCGCUCAGCUUGAACGGAAAUCAAGCAAAAGAGUGCAAACGCAGAAGCGAGCCUAACUGCGAGACUGACGGGUCGAGCAGUAACGAAAGUUGGAGUUAGUGAUCCGGUGGUAUGUGAGUGGAAAUGCCAUCGCUCAACGGAUAAAAGUUACCCUGGGGAUAACAGGCUGAUCUCCCCCAAGAGUCCACAUCGACGGGGAGGUUUGGCACCUCGAUGUCGGCUCAUCGCAUCCUGGGGCUGUAUUCGGUCCCAAGGGUUUGGCUGUUCGCCAAUUAAAGCGGUACGCGAGCUGGGUUCAGAACGUCGUGAGACAGUUCGGUCCCUAUCUGUCGUGGGCGCAGGAUAUUUGAUGGGAGCUGUUCCUAGUACGAGAGGACCGGAGCGGACGUACCUCUGGCGCACCAGUUGUUCUGCCAAGGGCAUAGCUGGGCAACUAUGUACGGAUCGGAUAAACGCUGAAAGCAUCUAAGCGUGAAGCCGACCCAAAGAUAAGAUAUCCCAUUGUUUUAAACAAGUAAGACCCCUUGAAGACUACAAGGUUGAUAGGCACGAUGUGUAAGUGGAGUGAUCCAUUCAGCAAGCGUGUACUAAUAGGUCGAGGGCUUGACCUG